GCGAACCAAGUCCCGCAGAGACGCCGCCCGCGGCGCGCGGCCCCGGGGGACGACCCGGGGGCGCGCGUCCGGACGAGCUCCGAACAACCCCUCCGGGCGCGGCGAGCGCCAAGGAAUAGAAGCGGAAGGGGCGGCCGCCCCGCCCGGCGCGGGCGCCGGCGUGGGGAUCCGCCGCCCGUCUGUGGACUGCCAUUUACGGACAGACGACUCUCGGCAACGGAUAUCUCGGCUCUCGCAUCGAUGAAGAACGUAGCGAAAUGCGAUACUUGGUGUGAAUUGCAGAAUCCCGUGAACCAUCGAGUCUUUGAACGCAAGUUGCGCCCGAGGCCACUCGGCCGAGGGCACGCCUGCCUGGGCGUCACGCCACCCGUCGCCCCCUCCCGCGGCACUCCCGUGCCCGGCCGGGGAGCGGAGACUGGCCGUCCGUGCCCGAUCCCUCGGCGCGCGGUCGGCAGAAAAGGAGGACACCGUGCGGCGCGGCACGGCGCGUGGGGGUCGAGAGGCGAUCCGUCGCCGAUCGUGCGCCGUCCCGCCGCGCGCGGCGUCACCCGUGGGACCGGACCCGCCCGCGGCCGCGGGCGCUCGGACCGCGACCCCAGGUCAGGCGCGGCCACCCGCUGAAUUUAAGCAUAUCAAUAAGCGGAGGA
rnacentral:rRNA from 1 species